rnacentral:rRNA from 1 species
AGAGUUUGAUCAUGGCUCAGGACGAACGCUGGCGGCGUGCCUAACACAUGCAAGUCGAGCGAAGCACCUAGGACAGAUUCCUUCGGGAUGACGUUGUAGGUGACUUAGCGGCGGACGGGUGAGUAACGCGUGAGGAACCUGCCUUCCACAAGGGGAUAGCCUCGGGAAACCGGGAUUAAUACCCUAUGACACUUAAGGGCCGCAUGGUCCUUAGGUUAAAGCGCUUUAGCGGUGGAAGAUGGCCUCGCGUCCCAUUAGCUAGUUGGUGAGGUAAAGGCUCACCAAGGCGACGAUGGGUAGCCGGCCUGAGAGGGUGGACGGCCACACUGGGACUGAGACACGGCCCAGACUCCUACGGGAGGCAGCAGUGGGGAAUAUUGCACAAUGGGCGAAAGCCUGAUGCAGCGACGCCGCGUGAGCGAUGAAGGCCUUCGGGUCGUAAAGCUCUGUCCUAUGGGACGAUAGUGACGGUACCAUAGGAGGAAGCCCCGGCUAACUACGUGCCAGCAGCCGCGGUAAUACGUAGGUGGCAAGCGUUAUCCGGAAUUAUUGGGCGUAAAGCGCGCGUAGGCGGUUUCUUAAGUCUGAUGUGAAAGCCCACGGCUCAACCGUGGAGGGUCAUUGGAAACUGGGAAACUUGAGUACAGAAGAGGAAAGUGGAAUUCCAUGUGUAGCGGUGAAAUGCGCAGAGAUAUGGAGGAACACCAGUGGCGAAGGCGACUUUCUGGUCUGUAACUGACGCUGAUGUGCGAAAGCGUGGGGAUCAAACAGGAUUAGAUACCCUGGUAGUCCACGCCGUAAACGAUGAGUGCUAAGUGUUAGGGGGGUUUCCGCCCCUUAGUGCUGCAGCUAACGCAUUAAGCACUCCGCCUGGGGGAGUACGGACCGCAGGGUUGAAACUCAAUGAAUUGACGG